UAGGAACUGGUAUAGAAAUAGCUGCUAACUGAUUUCUAAAGCGGUUAAACUCCGUUUUUUCCUUU
rnacentral:tRNA from 1 species